rnacentral:rRNA from 1 species
GACGAACGCUGGCGGCGCGCUUAACACAUGCAAGUCGAGCGGUAAGGCCCUUUCGGGGUACGACGAGCGGCGAACGGGUAGAGUAACACGUGGGUGGACCUCGCCCUCCAGCUCUGGGAGUAAGCCUCGGGAAACCGGGGUACUAAUACUGGAUAUGACUCCAUGACGCAUGUUGGUGGGGUGGAAAGCCUUGUGCGGCUGAGGAUGGGCCCGC